rfam:Stegodyphus mimosarum contig90227, whole genome shotgun sequence.
GCCUUCGUGGUGUAAUGGUCAGCACACACGACACGUAUUUGAGAAGUCAGGGGUUCGAGUCCCGGCGAGGGCA